GGAUGCUGCGGUUUAAUUGGAGUCAACCCCGGGAACCUUACCAGGGGAGACAGCAGGAUGAAGGCCAGAUUGAAGGUCUUGCCGGACGAGCUGAGAGGAGGUGCAUGGCCGUCGCCAGCUCGUGCCGUGAGGUGUCCUGUUAAGUCAGGCAACGAGCGAGACCCCCGCCCCUAGUUGCUACCAGAACUCGGAAGGGUUCUGGGCACUCUAGGGGGACUGCCGCCGAUAAGGCGGAGGAAGGAGGGGGCUACGGCAGGUCAGUAUGCCCCGAAUCCCCUGGGCCACACGCGGCAUACAAUGGCAGGGACAAUGGGUUGCCACCCCGAAAGGGGGAGCUAAUCCCCAAACCCUGCCUCAGUUGGGAUCGAGGGUUGCAACCCACCCUCGUGAACCCGGAAUCCCUAGUAAUCGCGCGUCACCAACGCGCGGUGAAUACGUCCCUGCCCCUUGUACACACA
rnacentral:rRNA from 1 species